CGUUAGUCCGGGAAUUUAUUGGGCGGUAAAGCGCGCGCCAGGUGGGUUUCUUAAGUCUGAUGUGAAAAGCCCACGGCUUCAACCGUGGAGGGUUCAUUUGGAAAACUGGGAGACUUUGAGUGCAGAAGAGGAUAGUGGAAUUCCCAAAGUGUAGCGGUGAAAUGCGUAGAGAUUUGGAGGAACACCAGUGGCGAAGGCGACUAUCUGGUCUGUAACUGACACUGAGGCGCGAAAGCGUGGGGAGCAAACAGGAUUAGAUACCCUGGUAGUCCACGCCGUAAACGAUGAGUGCUAAGUGUUAGGGGGUUUCCGCCCCUUAGUGCUGCAGCUAACGCAUUAAGCACUCCGCCUGGGAGUACGGUCGCAAGACUGAAACUCAAAGGAAUUGACGGGGGCCCGCACAAGCGGUGGAGCAUGUGGUUUAAUUCGAAGCGACGCGAAGAACCUUACCAGGUCUUGACAUCCCGUUGACCACUGUAGAGAUAUGGUUUUCCCUCCGGGGACAACGGUGACAGGUGGUGCAUGGUUGUCGUCAGCUCGUGUCGUGAGAUGUCGGGUUAAGUCCCGCAACGAGCGCAACCCUUGAUCUUAGUUGCCAUCAUUUAGUUGGGCACUGUAAGGUGAUUGCCGGUGACAAACCGGAGGAAGGUGGGGAUGACGUCAAAUCAUCAUGCCCCUUAUGACCUGGGCUACACACGUGCUACAAUGGACGAUACAAACGGUUGCCAACUCGCGAGAGGGAGCUAAUCCGAGAAAGUCG
rnacentral:rRNA from 1 species